CCCUUAGAUGUUCUGGGCCGCACACGCGCUACACUGAAGGAGGCAGCGUAUACUCCUGGAUCGAAAGAUUUGGGUAACCCGCGAAUCUCCUUCGUGCUAGGGAUUGAGGUUUGCAAUUAUCCUUCAUGAACGAGGAAUUCCCAGUAAGUGCAAGUCAUAAGCUUGCGCUGACUACGUCCCUGCCCUUUGUACACACCGCCCGUCGCUACUACCGAUUGAAUGAUUUAGUGAGGACUUCGGACUGGGACCGAUGCGGCUUUCGGGCUGCGUCGGUAUUCUGGAAAGAUGUCCAAACUGUAUCAUUUAGAGGAAGUAAAANUCGUAACA
rnacentral:rRNA from 1 species